CAUGCAAGUCGCAGGGUAACAUGAGGAAAGCUUGCUUUCCUUGAUGACGACUGGCGCACGGGUGAGUAACGCGUAUCCAACCUUCCCAUAACUACGGGAUAACCCGUUGAAAGACGGCCUAAUACCGUAUGACAUCGUUUGCUGACAUCAAAUAACGAUUAAAGGUUUAGCGGUUAUGGAUGGGGAUGCGUCUGAUUAGCUUGUUGGCGGGGUAACGGCCCACCAAGGCGACGAUCAGUAGGGGUUCUGAGAGGAAGGUCCCCCACAUUGGAACUGAGACACGGUCCAAACUCCUACGGGAGGCAGCAGUGAGGAAUAUUGGUCAAUGGGCGAGAGCCUGAACCAGCCAAGUAGCGUGCAGGAUGACGGCCCUAUGGGUUGUAAACUGCUUUUAUGUGGGGAUAAAGUGCGUGACGUGUCAUGCAUUGCAGGUACCACAUGAAUAAGGACCGGCUAAUUCCGUGCCAGCAGCCGCGGUAAUACGGAAGGUCCGGGCGUUAUCCGGAUUUAUUGGGUUUAAAGGGAGCGUAGGCUGUCUAUUAAGCGUGUUGUGAAAUUUACCGGCUCAACCGGUGGCUUGCAGCGCGAACUGGUCGACUUGAGUAUGCAGGAAGUAGGCGGAAUUCAUGGUGUAGCGGUGAAAUGCUUA
rnacentral:rRNA from 1 species